GACGAACGCUGGCGGCGUGCUUAACACAUGCAAGUCGAGCGGUAAGGCCCUUUCGGGGGUACACGAGCGGCGAACGGGUGAGUAACACGUGGGUGACCUGCCCUCAGCUCUGGGAUAAAGCCCGUGGGAAACCGGGUCUAAUACCGGAUAUGACUCCAUGACGCAUGUUGGUGGGGUGGAAAGCCUUGUGCGGCUGAGGA
rnacentral:rRNA from 1 species